AGUGUAUGAACAUUAUGUUGAGGUAAUGGACACUUACAAUCCUCUGAGGAUUCUGUAUUGGUUUCAGUGGAAGAACUAUCUGUUCCUAUAAAAUCAAGGUCGUUACUAUCUAUGUCUUCUGUAUAAGAUUCACUUGAAGUGGAAGAGGAAGAAUCAUAAGAAAUUAUAUUUUUUAAUUUUGAUUUGGUUGUAUCAUCUAAAUUUAAUGAAUCUAUUUUCUUUUUUAAUUUACAUUGGUGUUUAUAAUGUCCUAUUUUACCACACUUAUAACAUACUGGGAGUUUUUUCCUUUUCUUUGUAUUUGGGGAAAAUUUAUUAAUUAAUUUUCUUUUGGACUUUUUAUAAUA
rnacentral:lncRNA from 1 species